rnacentral:misc_RNA from 1 species
GAAAAUGAAGGACUGGAUGAGAUUCAGUGUUGCAUAUUGGCAUACAUUCCGUGGAACUGGAGGAGAUCCAUUUGGUGCUGCCACCAAGCAUUGGCCAUGGGAAGAUGGUACCGAUUCAGUGGCUAUGGCAAAGAGGAGGAUGAGAGCUAAUUUCGAGUUCUUAAACAAACUUGGGGUUGAGUGGUGGUGCUUCCAUGACAGAGACAUAGCCCCAGAUGCUUCAACUUUGGAGGAAGCUAAUGCGAAC